rnacentral:rRNA from 1 species
AUUGAACGCUGGCGGCAGGCUUAACACAUGCAAGUCGAGCGGAGAUGAGGUGCUUGCACCUUAUCUUAGCGGCGGACGGGUGAGUAAUGCUUAGGAAUCUGCCUAUUAGUGGGGGACAACAUUCCGAAAGGGAUGCUAAUACCGCAUACGUCCUACGGGAGAAAGCAGGGGGAUCUUCGGACCUUGCGCUAAUAGAUGAGCCUAAGUCGGAUUAGCUAGUUGGUGGGGUAAAGGCCUACCAAGGCGACGAUCUGUAGCGGGGUCUGAGAGGAUGAUCCGCCACACUGGGACUGAGACACGGCCCAGACUCCUACGGGAGGCAGCAGUGGGGAAUAUUGGACAAUGGGGGGAACCCUGAUCCAGCCAUGCCGCGUGUGUGAAGAAGGCCUUAUGGUUGUAAAGUACUUUAAGCGAGGAGGAGGCUACUGAGACUAAUACUCUUGGAUAGUGGACGUUACUCGCAGAAUAAGCACCGGCUAACUCUGUG